UUUUGGGUGAUUUGGAGUUGAUAUGACUUUGUAAGAGCUUUGCAAAGUCAAGGUUUGUUUCAGAUGACUUGGGUUUUAUAAAAUAAAAUAGUAUUUAUAUUUUGGAUGAUUUCAAGAGUUUUGAAGUAGAUCUAUAGGUGAAAUUUUGUAGGUUUAUGGUUAUAGUUGUGUUUAAUAUGUGUCGUGAAUUUGAGCUUGAUCUAACGGUUGAAUUGAGGAAUAUUGAGGUUCAAGUGGGUCAAGGUCUCUAAAAGUAGAAUUUUAAGUCUAAUGGGGGUUUUUGAGAUUUCUUGCAUUCUUUUGAUUAGAUUGGAGUGAAACUUAUGUGAGAAGAUAUUAGACUUAUUUUUCUAUGUGUAUGAGAAUUUUGAGAUCAAUCGAACAAUGCAAAGGAGAGAUAUUGGCUCUGGAAGAUUGGCAUCAAGAUUGGAGAAGGAGACCGGCCAAUACCCGAGCAUAUUUUUGAGGUUAUCGUCAAUUUAAUAUCUCCGAUCCUUAUCAAUUUUUUUGUGCUUGUUUUUAACUUAUUUUUUUAGGGAUAUGCAAAAUUUGAGUUAAGAUCAACGGUUUAUUCAUUAGUUAUUGAUGUUUAAAUCUUUUAUAGGAAUUAUUAGGGUUUGGUUUAGGAUUUGGUUAGGGUUUGAUUUGGGAUUUAGGAUUUGGAUUAGGGUUUGAUUUAGGAUUUAGGAUUUAGUUAGGGUUUGAUUUAGGAUUUAGGUUUUGGAUUAGGAUUUGGUUUAGGAUUUGGUUAGGAUUUGAUUUAGGAUUUAGGAUUUGGAUUAAAGUUUGGUUUAAGGUUUAGGAUUUGGAUUAGGAUUUGGUUAGGGUUCAAUUUAGGGUUUAGGAUUUGGUUUAGGAUUUGGUUAGGAUUUGGUUUAGGAUUUGAUUGGAGUUUGGUUUAAGUUUUGUUUAGGAUUUGAUUUAGGGUUUAGGAUUUUAUUAGGAUUUAAGAUUCAAUUAGUUUUGGCCUAAAGUUUGAAUGAAGUUCAAUAGGAUUUUAACUAGAAUUAAAUUAAGAUUGAAUUGAGAUAUAUUUGAAUGAUAUUUAUAUUCUUUCUAUUAUUUCUUUAAAUAUUCUUAUUGUUUGUUUGAAAUUUCUUUGAGGUUUUUUUGAAUUUGAUUAAAUUUGCUUAGCAUUAUUAUAGUCUAAUUAGAGUAUUUUUAGUAUUCUAUUAGAAUUAGGAUUUUUUUAUUGCAAUUUCCAUUCUUCCUUCCACAGCCAAGUGUCCAAAGCAUUCUCAAGUAAGACUUCACGUAUUACGACUGCGAUCUUCAUGUGUUGA
rnacentral:lncRNA from 1 species